UAUCUAUAAUUUUUUCUCUAAAGCUUGGUGAGAACAAUCGAAGGGAUGUGAAUAAUAUUAUUGACAGGAAGUGAAAGGGAUUCUUCAUCUGCAUCCCUUUAGCCACCCUUUUCAAGCCUUUCAGAGUCACCGUCAUGAGAUUAGAAAUACCUUUCGUGCAGUUCAGCAGCAACUAUGCAAUAUGACAGUUAAGUCAGCAGAGAGUUGCUUUGCACAGUGGCCAAACAAAUGGCUUAAGACGCUUGGUUACAGGGCGGAAAAAUACCAUUCAAAUGGAGAAGCAUAGAGGCAGGCAACUCGUAACCCAGAUAUUCCAGGCAAUAGUCCAGAACUCGGCUACCAUCAACACUGGAGAGAUGGCAGACUUCCUGUCCCUUCUCAUACCCUGUUUGAAUGACUUUGGUGGUGUUUCUUCAUCGGCCAAGUUUCUACAUUAAGGCUGAAUACGUGGCUGGCACAGGAGCUGCCUUCUGGACAAGGUAAACUCUAGGUCUGAGUAUGGAGACCAAGAGGCGAGUCCCCUCAUCCUUCAUAAUGACAGUUCUAGAAAGUACCUAGACCUUUUUCCUUUUUUAAAAAAAAAAAAAAUCUGGUUUCCAGAAAUUAGCUCCUCAAACCUGAAGCAAAUUAGACUCGCUUUUUGUGGGCAGACAUCUCAUUUACAGAAGCUUCCUUUUCUUUAUUCCAGUUUUAGUUUCUUAUUGAUUUGUUGCUUGUUU
rnacentral:lncRNA from 9 species